UUGGUUAAGAUCAGCCGAACCCUAGUCUGAGAUGGAUUGAUGAGGUAGGUCGAAUCCUAGUAUAAUAAGGAGUCUCAAUAGGAUGAGAAUGCUGAGAUUUGAGAAGUGAAUGUGGCCAGAUAAAGAGUUUGGUUCAAAGUACUAAUGGAGGUAGCAUUGGUCGAGUCUUGGUGAGAUUAAGAUAAAGAAUCCUAAGCUUAGUAUAGUUCUGUUUCGGCCAUGACGAGAGUGGUUUCUAUAAAUAAGAAGGGAAUGCAUCAUUCAAACCCUCUCCAAUUCAACACACAAACUGCCAUGCGCAAACUCUGGAUAAACAGCAUUGCGUCAAGGCCGACUGGUUAUCUAUCCAAGUCUCGAUCGAGAAGGGUUUUCGAAUCCUUAUUGGCAGAGGUCAUCUCACGAGCCUUCUCAGCAAAGUGAGAUGUUACGAAUCAAUAGA
rnacentral:lncRNA from 1 species